GUGCCAGCCGCCGCGGUAAUACGUAGGGGCAAGCGUUGUCCGGAAUUAUUGGGCGUAAAGCGCGCGCAGGCGGUUCCUUAAGUCUGAUGUGAAAUCUCGUGGCUCAACCACGAACGGUCAUUGGAAACUGGGGAACUUGAGUACAGAAGAGGAGAGUGGAAUUCCGACGUGUAGCGGUGAAAUGCGUAGAUAUGUGGAGGAACACCAGUGGCGAAGGCGACUCUCUGGUCUGUAACUGACGCUGAGGCGCGAAAGCGUGGGAGCGAACAGGAUUAGAUACCCUGGUAGUCCACGCCGUAACGAUGAGUGCUAGGUGUUAGGGGUUCCGCCCUUAGUGCUGCAGUUAACGCAUUAAGCACUCCG
rnacentral:rRNA from 1 species